AGCAGUCGCCGCGGUAAUACGGAGGGUGCAAGCGUUAAUCGGAAUUACUGUGCGUAAAGCGCACGCAGGCGGUCUGACAAGUCAGAUGUGAAAUCCCCGGGCUUAACCUGGGAACUGCAUUUGAAACUGUCAGGCUGGAGUCUUGUAGAGGGGGGUAGAAUUCCAGGUGUAGCGGUGAAAUGCGUAGAGAUCUGGAGGAAUACCGGUGGCGAAGGCGGCCCCCUGGACAAAGACUGACGCUCAGGUGCGAAAGCGUGGGGAGCAAACAGGAUUAGAGACCCCGGUAGUCCCUGUCUCUUAUAC
rnacentral:rRNA from 1 species